rnacentral:rRNA from 1 species
ACGGCUCAGUAACACGUGGAUAACCUGCCCUUAGGACUGGCAUAACCCCGGGAAACUGGGGAUAAUUCCGGAUAGUUCAUGGUAGCUGGAAUGCUCCAUGAUCGAAAGCUAUUGCGCCUAAGGAUGGGUCUGCGGUCUAUCAGGUAGUAGUGGGUGUAAUGUACCUACUAGCCGACGACGGAUACGGGUUGUGGGAGCAAGAGCCCGGAGAUGGAUUCUGAGACAUGAAUCCAGGCCCUACGGGGCGCAGCAGGCGCGAAAACUUUACAAUGCGGGAAACCGCGAUAAGGGGACACCGAGUGCCAGCAUCUUAUGUUGGCUGUCCGCAUGUAUAAAUCACAUGUGUUAGCAAGGGCCGGGCAAGACCGGUGCCAGCCGCCGCGGUAACACCGGCGGCCCGAGUGGUGGCCACUAUUAUUGGGUCUAAAGGGUCCGUAGCCAGUUUGGUCAGUCUUCCGGGAAAUCUGACGGCUUAACCGUUAGGCUUUCGGGGGAUACUACCAGGCUUGGGACCGGGAGAGGUAAGAGGUACUACGGGGGUAGGAGUGAAAUCUUGUAAUCCUCGUGGGACCACCAGUGGCGAAGGCGUCUUACCAGAACGGGUCCGACGGUGAGGGACGAAAGCUGGGGGCACGAACCGGAUUAGAUACCCGGGUAGUCCCAGCCGUAAACUAUGCUCGCUAGGUGUCAGGGACGGUGCGACCGUUUCUGGUGCCGCAGGGAAGCCGUGAAGCGAGCCACCUGGGAAGUACGGUCGCAAGGCUGAAACUUAAAGGAAUUGGCGGGGGAGCAC